rnacentral:tRNA from 1 species
GGAGGAAUAGAUCUAAUUGGUAAGACAGCGGUCUUGAAAACCGCCGGGCGAGAGCCCAUGGGGGUUCGAGUCCCCCUUCCUCCG